rnacentral:rRNA from 1 species
CCUACGGGCGGCAGCAGUGGGGAAUAUUGGACAAUGGGCGAAAGCCUGAUCCAGCCAUGCCGCGUGUGUGAAGAAGGCCUUCGGGUUGUAAAGCACUUUCAGUGGGGAAGAAAGCCUUGGGGCUAAUACCCUCGAGGAAGGACAUCACCCACAGAAGAAGCACCGGCUAACUCCGUGCCAGCAGCCGCGGUAAUACGGAGGGUGCGAGCGUUAAUCGGAAUUACUGGGCGUAAAGCGCGCGUAGGCGGUCUGAUAAGCCGGUUGUGAAAGCCCCGGGCUCAACCUGGGAACGGCAUCCGGAACUGUCAGGCUAGAGUACAGGAGAGGAAGGUAGAAUUCCCGGUGUAGCGGUGAAAUGCGUAGAGAUCGGGAGGAAUACCAGUGGCGAAGGCGGCCUUCUGGACUGACACUGACGCUGAGGUGCGAAAGCGUGGGUAGCAAACAGGAUUAGAUACCCUAGUAGUC